rnacentral:rRNA from 1 species
GACGGCCAUAUCACGUUGAAGCAUAGGUUCCUGUAUGAUCACCGAAGUUAAGCAACGUCGAGCCUGGUCAGUAUCUAGACGGGUGACCGUUUGGGAAUACCAGGUAUUGUA